GACGAACGCUGGCGGCGUGCUUAACACAUGCAAGUCGAACGGACAGGCCCUGCGUUUGUGGGGUGCUCGAGUGGCGAACGGGUGAGUAACACGUGAGUAACAUGCCCUUGACUUUGGGAUAACUUCAGGAAACUGGGGCGAAUACCGGAUAGGAGCUCCUGCUGCAUGGUGGGCGUUGGUAAGUUCCGGCGGUUGGGGAUGGUCUCGCGGCUUAUCAGCUUGUUUGUGAGGUAGUGGCUUACCAAGGGUUUGACGGGUAGCCGGCCUGAGAGCGUGAACGGCGACCUUGGGACUGAGAGACGGCGCAGACGCCUACGGUAGGCAGCAGUCGGGAAUCUUACACAACGGGCGGAAGUGUGAUGUAGCAACCCUGCGUGCGGGAUGACGGCCUUCGGGUUGUAAACCGAUUUCGACUUUGACGAAGCGUGAGUGACGGUAAUGGGUAAAGAAGCAACGGCUAACUACGUG
rnacentral:rRNA from 1 species